CACAACCUGAGGGGGGGUGAGACAAGGAAUUUAUACACAUUUUUACCACAAGCUUCGCUACUUCAUCCACAAGUAAAUAAUAUGGUUAAGUACUUUUGAAAAACACAAAAUGUGUAUUUGUAUCACUUGGCUACACGUGCUGGGUGUCGAUGUUCCACUCGCUUCUAACCCGGAAAUCCAUAUUUGGGCUGCAUUGCUCAGUGUGCGGUGGCCCUUAGGCCAUCCUCCAUGAAUCAGGAUGUAACCUGCCAUUGAACAAACAGAUCAGAAACUCAAACAUUCGUUUUCACUUUUGUUUGCAACCACUCAUGGGGAUAUUUACAUUGAUUUGGAUCGAGCUAUGACAAUCCACAUUCUUUUUUUGUUUGUUCGGGUACAGAAUAAUCAGCUGAAACAAGUGAUCUUUGUUAGCUCUCUAAGCCGAACUUUCCCCGUUUUGUCCCUCCAGCAGUUUGUCCUCUUGGCUGCCAGUCACUCACUCAGUCAGUCGCUCCAUGGUGUAAGUCGCUCUGCUGGCAGACGGCCACCGACGUUUGACUGUGUGGUAAUUGUUGUUGGGAAGAAGAGGCUUUCCGUUGACAGGAUUCAAACAAAAAAAGAGAGCACGCGUGGCUUAGCAGCUUAAUGAACGUGUCAGAUGCGUUUAAACAAAUGGAUUACAACAUCUAUACACACUUGGAUGGAUCACUACCUUCCAGACUGGGAGUGGGAAUGAACGAUCCCGGAGACAUGAACAACCAUAUGUCAUCAUUCAAUGACCUGUAUGUACAGUUUACGGUCAUGUCGGCCACUGUUCAUGAAUUUACCCGGCCGGCUGCUACCAAAUUUAAAGCACGUAUGCUGGAGAGACGCGUGAUUUUCAAUUUUCAUCAUUGCGUGUGGAUGGAGCAUGACAGUGACGUUUGAUGACCUGCUGCGAAACACGAAAGUCUGACUGCUCAACCCCUCGAUGUCAGAACUUAAUGAAAAGUCUUGGACUAAAGUUCUGAGUCAAGGGUACCCCUCAAUGGCAGAAAAGACGCAAUAACACCUUUUCUGAUGCUCCAAUUGCUUUUCUCUGGCGGGCAGGCAAGAGGGACCAGCCCGUUCAUCGGCACUCAAGCUCGCUUGAACCCAAGUGGGAUUGAGUGAUCUUGCUUGGCGGAGGUUAUAACACGCCACUUUUACUCAUUGCUCAUUUUAUGUGAUACAAGGCCCAUUAUUCCUGCAGUCAUUACUAAGCAAAAUGCCAAUAAUUUAUUAUGGAAACUUGGCAGGAUGGAUACGAGGGAGUGGGAAACGAAGGAAGGUAGAAGUAUUAAAAAAAAAAAUUAAAAAAAGGAAAUGGUGAGAAACAGGUUUUCACCCCAAUUUAUUCAGCAACGUGAAAGCUGCGCAAGCACUGAAGAUGCUGCUAUUUUCGUACCCGCCUUCAAAGGCAUCUCAGGAUCUUUAAUGUUCACGCCGGUGACAACAAUGAGUGCGCCACUGUUUUUAAUGAUGUGCUUCUUCUUUGCGAACCCCCCCCCCCCCCCCCCCCGCCCUCCUCCCCGCCUUUGUCACUGUCAAGUGAACACAGGCAGGCACAUGAAAACCUGUCAAAAAAACUAACAAAAAAAAAAAAAAAACAAGUCCAGUCCCAUGAAGCUGUUCUAGUGCGCAAAUGGUUCACUUGUCUGGUUCCAUAUGUUUGCAAUCAUGUCGGCUCCCUGGCCACUGCAGAUCAUUUAGUCGACUGCCUUAUACAUUUCAAUGAGGCUCAGCUUGCGCUGCCACACGUGAUUUCCUGAUAUCCUGAUCAUAUCCUUAUUCAGAUGAACACACAUAAUGGGCGUGCUAUCCGUACUGACUGCCGACCAAUUCGUGGUGCUGUCUGCCUUUAGCCCGACGUCAGUUGGGAUAAGCUCCAGCACAACGCAAGUCUAUGGUCACGAGCUAUGGGUCGGGACCGAAAGAAUGAGGUCCCGGAUACAAGCGGCCAAAAUGAGUUUUCUCCGCAGGGUGUCCGGGCUCUCUCUCAGAGAUAAGGUGAGAAGGGAGGGGCUGAAAGUCGAGCUGCUUCUCUUCCACAUCAAGAGGAGCCAGAUGAGGUGGCUUGGGCAUCUGAUUAGGAUGCCUUCUGAACGCCUGCCUGGUGAGGUGUUCCGGGCAUGUCCCACUGGCAGGAGACCCCGAGGACGACCCAGGACACGCUGGAGAGACUAUGUCACCCAGCUGGCAUGGGAACGCCUCGGGAUCCGCCAGGAAGAGCUCGAAGAAGUGGUUGGGGAGAGGGAAGUCUGGGCUUCCCUCCUAAAGCUGCUGCCCCCGCGACCCGACCCCGGAUAAGCGGUGGGAAAUGGAUGGAUGGAUGGAU